rnacentral:tRNA from 1 species
GAGGGUAUAGCUCAGGGGUACGGUGUGUGUUUAGCACACACCAGGUCCUGGGUUCAAUCCCCAGGACCUCCA